UACCGCAUAAUGUAUUCGAGGGCAUCCCUUGAAUACCAAAGCUUUAUGUGCUGAAAGAUGGCCUCGCGUCUGAUUAGCUAGUUGGUGGGGUAACGGCCCACCAAGGCGACGAUCAGUAGCCGGUCUGAGAGGAUGAACGGCCACAUUGGGACUGAGAUACGGCCCAGACUCCUACGGGAGGCAGCAGGUGGGGAAUAUUGGGCAAUGGGGGAAACCCUGACCCAGCAACGCCGCGUGAAGGAAGAAGGCCUUCGGGUUGUAAACUUCUUUUAGCAGGGACGAAGAACGUGACGGUACCUGCAGAAAAAGCAACGGCUAACUACGUG
rnacentral:rRNA from 1 species